ACAGGCUGUCUAAGUUCUCAACGAGUUUUUGAUCUGCAUAGUUCAGCUCUAACUUGUUUCUGAUCGUUCAAUGCUGCAGGCCGGGUAUGCCAAGGACUGCAAAACUUGAUUCGGGCGAGACUUAGAGACCCUUCAUUCUUGAGCAUCCUCCAAGAAAUGUGAGUGAGUGUGUCUCUUUACAACGUUACGAUUUCGACCUGAAACUGAAUAUAGUACCGAUUCUGAUUAUGUGAUUUUCUGGAUAGGAAGAUGUCGCUACAAAACUGUGCCUGCAGAGGGUGUUCGAAAACGUUGCAAGCGGAGUCCUGGCUGCACCACCAUCUCCAUCGAUCGAGAAUGCGAUCCUGAAUCUGGCUCGCAAUUAGAACAUGCAGAAAACAUGGAGCUUGAUGAAAUAACCAGAUACACAAGUUAUUUCCUUUUCUCUACUUACAAAGUAAGAGUCUCUGGAUUUCUGCAGAACGUUGUUAGACUCUACUCUGCUUGUGUCGAACUUCUUUCUGGUUGUUAUGAUUAUUAACGAGCCAAGCUAGAUCCGAGCUUCAAUGUUUCAGCUUGAACAUGGAUAAAAUUGUGGUCGUAUAGGAUAGAUUGAUAUCAAACUCGGGAUCGACAUUCCUUGCCCUACAUAUCAAAAUUCUGACAUUUUCAAAUGUCAUGGACGAGGAUGGCAGUGUGACUUUGAUGGAGUUACAUCGCACCACUUAGAUAGGAUGAAAAAAUUGUGUAAUGAAUAUUCCAUAAAUACAUAUUCUUCUUUUUA
rnacentral:lncRNA from 1 species